UGUGUGAUCCUCAAAAUUUCAAGCUUGAUUUAGCUGGAUAAGUACCUGUCUCUUCUUUAUUAUGAUUUGUAUAUCAACUAAACUUAGGUAGAUAAGGUGGGUUUUCAUGGAAGUCUAUAGUUUCUACUAAUUAACUCUCUCAAUAAAUGUAUUUGAUUCUUAGAAAUCAAUAUCCCGCACUCAAUUAGACAUCUAGGGUCAAAGAAUAAGAUGUAGAAUCCAUGGAGAUAUAUAGAAGAAGUUAAGAUUGAUCAGAGAAGUUGAGCUUCAAUUUGUGAUAAAAUUGGUGAAAACUAGAGUUGGAC
rnacentral:lncRNA from 1 species